rnacentral:rRNA from 1 species
UACGGAGGGUGCAAGCGUUAUCCGGAUUCACUGGGUUUAAAGGGUGCGUAGGAGGGCAGGGAAGUCAGUGGUGAAAUCUCCGGGCUUAACUCGGAAACUGCCGUUGAUACUCUCUGUCUUGAAUCCCGUGGAGGUGAGCGGAAUAUGUCAUGUAGCGGUGAAAUGCUUAGAUAUGACAUAGAACACCAAUUGCGAAGGCAGCUCGCUACACGAAGAUUGACUCUGAGGCACGAAAGCGUGGGAAUCAAACAGG